rnacentral:piRNA from 1 species
UAGCACUCGGCAUGUUUUUCU